rnacentral:rRNA from 1 species
AUUGAACGCUGGCGGCAUGCCUUACACAUGCAAGUCGAACGGCGGCACGGGUGCUUGCACCUGGUGGCGAGUGGCGAACGGGUGAGUAAUACAUCGGAACGUACCUUAUCGUGGGGGAUAACGCAGCGAAAGCUGUGCUAAUACCGCAUACGCCCUGAGGGGGAAAGCGGGGGAUCGCAAGACCUCGCGCGAUUAGAGCGGCCGAUGCCUGCGUAGCUUGUUGGUGGGGUAAAAGCCCACCAAGGCGACGAUCAGUAGCUGGUCUGAGAGGACGAUCAGCCACACUGGGACUGAGACACGGCCCAGACUCCUACGGGAGGCAGCAGUGGGGAAUUUUGGACAAUGGGGGCAACCCUGAUCCAGCAAUGCCGCGUGAGUGAAGAAGGCCUUCGGGUUGUAAAGCUCUUUUGUCAGGGAAGAAACACCGGCUCUAACACAGUCCGGGAAUGACGGUACCUGAAGAAUAAGCACCGGCUAACUACGUGCCAGCAGCCGCAGUAA